ensembl:snoRNA SNORA73 Small nucleolar RNA SNORA73 family
ACAACGUGGACAUCCUGUGAGGUUGCUCUCAUAUGGCUCUGUUCGUGUGGCGUAUGGGAGCGUAGCACUUCGCAGUGCCAUGACGUACAGUCCCGUUCCACGACGUUGGAGAGCAAGCUUGUCCCCGGCCUUUUGGCUGGUGAGGACAGCGUCCUGUAUAUUCCUACAUCUUCCCAGAGUCCUUGGGCAGUUACUGGGGAGAAAAACCAUGCAGUGCACAUUU